GUCGAUUGAGAUGGUUUGAUCAUGUCCAACGAAGAGAAUCAAAUUCUUUAGUACGGAACUGUGAUAAGUUAGUAGGGAAUGAUGGAGAAAGGGGAGAGGGAGACCUAAGAUGAUGUGUAGAGAAGUAGUAUCAAAUGAUUUGUAAGCUUUGGAUAUUGAUGUGGACUUGGUUUCCAAUAGAGCUGAAUGGCUGGAAAAGGGUUAUAUAGUCGACCUUAAGUAA
rnacentral:misc_RNA from 1 species